CAGGUACUGGACAGAUACUGGACAGAUACUGGACAGAUACUGGACUGAUACUGGUCAGAUACUGGACAGGUACUGGACAGAUACUGGUCAGAUACUGGACAGAUAUUGGACAGGUACUGGUCAGAUACUGGUCAGAUACUGGACAGAUAUUGGACAGGUACUGGUCAGAUACUGGUCAGAUACUGGUCAGAUACUGGACAGAUAUUGGACAGGUACUGGUCAGAUACUGGACAUACACUGGACAGAUAUUGGACAGGUACUGGUCAGAUACUGGUCAGAUCAACAGUCCUUUCCACUCAGCUCCAUUGGCUUCAAUGGAAAAAGUCUAGUUUUUGGUCCUGUCACAUAUCGUUAUCCUCAUAUCAUAAAGACCUAACUCAUACACAAAUGGACAAAAGUAUGUGGACAUGUUGACUCCAGGUGUUUCUUUUCUAACAUGGGUCUGGGAUCCAAAACAAUACUGACUAAUGUCAGAAUAGAGUUUUAUAUGUUUGAGUCUUUAUGGGUUAAGAACAAAUACGUCCAGUUUUUCUAAUCCAUUUAAUAUCGACCUCACAGAUCCAGUUUUAUCAUUCUGGUGUUUUCUCUGUUUGUUUCGGUUUACCAAUGAGAUCCUUUUGGAAACAACGUAACUACAAAACACACCUGACCUUUAUAAAAUUGGCCUGCACAUACAUAUGACUGUACGUGCUUUAUAUGAGUGUGGUUCUCAGAAUACUGAAGAAGCCAAGGUUCACUGUCAGGAAUGAGCUUAAAUUAAAAAAAGCUAAUGUUUGUGUGCAUGUAAACACACGAGGACUGAACUGUAGUAAACACUCACAUACUAUAUAUACACCUUAAGAAGCUCUACAAGCAAAUAUUAGACAAUUCACACCCUGUUCGCCAAUGAUAGAGAUGAAAUAGACUGAAUGGACCCCAUAAUGAGCCAUUCCUCGCUCUGCCACCUGACCUACUGGACCGCUUAAGCCAUUUAACACUUUUAAAUACAUGUAUAGAAUAUGUACAAAGGCCCAAUCUCAAGUCACCCCUUGGCCCCUCCCUCUAACCCCUCCCCCUUGGCACUACUUCUUGAAUCAGAGUUGUAAGGGGUAGUGGUGUAAACGUCCCCCUAUGAAACGGUCCAACCCUUCCAGACCUGUUCCGUCAUCAUCAGUCAUCGAUGUCGAUAUAAACAGAUGCGACAACUUUGUUUGCGACAGAAUUCCCGAUGCCGUCAGCAGCUGGAACCGUCUCUGUUCCAUGGGCUUUGGGCAUCUUUUUGCGACUAUCUACCGCAAACCGCCGAAAUGCGAUCUAUAACACAUUGGAACGGCAUUAAACUGUCAAUCACAUGAUGAAGUUGUUUACGCAGAAAAUAAAAUAUUUGUGUGUUUCUUUCGUCACUGCUGCACUUUUUUGCUUCAUUUUGCCAAUGAUUCGAACUGAAUUAUGGGAGAUUUCUCAAACCCCUCCAUUUUGUAGCGCGGUCCUGAAAAAUCUCCGUUUGGAAGGUCAAACAGCCCUUCCCCUUAGACUCAUCGACAAUCGGGACAACCCUACCCCUUAACGUGAACGCGCAAAAUGGAAGGGUAAGGGUAAGGGGGAGGGGCCAAGGGGUGCAUUGGGAUUGGGCCAAACAACACGCCACCACAGGUCUAAUCCAGAAUACAGUAAACACCCCCACCUGAUGCUUUCCUACAGGGUUAGAAACGAGAAAUCCCAUUAUUUCCCAUCUUGUUGACACUAAUCGGAUGUUUGUUGGCUAGUUUCCUUCUCACAGUUUUCGUGUGUUUCUACCGCCACUGGUAGACCACGUCAGAAUUUGCGCUGAGUUC